GCCAAGAGAGGAGGGAGAGGCUACACUGGGUUGGGGUGGAGCAUGAAAGGCAUGAGGAAGGAGGUGGCAUUUGAAGUGGGCCUUGAAAGGCGGUGGUCAUUUGUCAGGUGGAGAUGGGAAAGGAGGACCUUCCAGGGAAAAGGAGCCGCCUCAGCAAAGGUGCAGGGGAGAGAAAGUAAUUAUUCCGGGUUGCACACUGCACCCAUGUGCUUACAGAGUCUACUCAACUCUUGGAUCUGGGCUCAGGCCUGACCAAUCAGAACAGUACAUUCCUGUGAUCUUAGUAAAGGUUGGAUAUCUAACCCAAUAAAAGCUUGCAAAAGGCGGAAAAACCUUUGCUGGAGCUGCUGGGAGAGAGGGAAAUGCUCUUUCUCGCUGGACUGGAAUUGGGGAUGAUGUGGAAGGAUGAAUGACUGCUAGAGCUGUUGCUGCCAUCUGCCUGCAUGGGAGAGCAUGUCUGACAACAAAACCAAUACCAAUACACAGGAAGUGAAGCCAAAGGCUGGAGAGAGACCAGCUCCAGGUGACAACAUUGGAGCCCCAGAAUCCGCCCAAAUCUUCUUUUAUUUAAGGAUUGGGUAUUCUUUCACUUGCAACUGAAAGAAGGGUAACCAAUAUCCACUGUCUGACAUAGCAGAAGAAACUGGCUCAGUAGGCAUCUCCUGCAGCCUCCAGCCCAGCUGUCUGGAUGUGAUGGUUUAGUAAAAGAACAGUAACUCCCUCA